rnacentral:rRNA from 1 species
UACGUAGGGGGCAAGCGUUGUCCGGAAUUAUUGGGCGUAAAGCGCGUGUAGGCGGCUCGGUAAGUCUGCUGUGAAAGUCCAAGGCUCAACCUUGGAAAGCCGGUGGAUACUGUCGAGCUCGAGUCCGGAAGAGGCGAGUGGAAUUCCUGGUGGUAGCGGUGAAAUGCGCAGAGUAUCAAGGAGGAACACCAAUGGCGAAGGCAGCUCGCUGGGACGGUACUGACGCUGGAGACGCGAAAGCGUGGGGAGCAAACAGG